CGCCUCUUGUCCAAUAUAAGAGGUCCAGCCUGCCCAGUGACUCUGUUCAACGGCCGCGGUAUCCUAACCGUGCGAAGGUAGCGUAAUCACUUGUUCUUUAAAUGAGGACUAGUAUGAAUGGCAUCACGAAGGUUAUACUGUCUCCUCUUUCUAAUCAGUGAAACUAAUCUCCCCGUGAAGAAGCGGGGAUAAUCCUAUAAGACGAGAAGACCCUAUGGAGCUUUAAACUAUGCACCAACUGCUACUGCUAAUCUCACUUUCAGAACAAUAAAACGUAUCCUAGCUCUAUGAGUGCUAGUUUUCGGUUGGGGUGACCGCGGAGCAAAAAUCAACCUCCACAUUGAAAGGAAAUAUCCUCCUUAGCCUAGAGGAACUCCUCCAAGCAACAAAAAUUUGACAUCCAUUGACCCAAUCUAUUGAUCAACGAACCAAGUUACCCUAGGGAUAACAGCGCAAUCCACUUCAAGAGCUCAUAUCGACAAGUGGGUUUACGACCUCGAUGUUGGAUCAGGGUAUCCCAGUGGUGCAGCCGCUACUAAAGGUUCGUUUGUUCAACGAUUAAAACCCUACGUGAUCUGAGU
rnacentral:rRNA from 1 species